rnacentral:rRNA from 1 species
UACGGAGGGAGCUAGCGUUGUUCGGAAAUACUGGGCGUAAAGCGCACGUAGGCGGCGCAGCAAGUCAGGGGUGAAAUCCCGGGGCUCAACCCCGGAACUGCCCUUGAAACUGCAGUGCUAGAAUCUUGGAGAGGCGAGUGGAAUUCCGAGUGUAGAGGUGAAAUUCGUAGAUAUUCGGAAGAACACCAGUGGCGAAGGCGACUCGCUGGACAAGUAUUGACGCUGAGGUGCGAAAGCCAGGGGAGCAAACGGG